GGCUGAGUAGCUCAGCGGUAGAGCAGGAGAAUCAUAAUCUCUUGGUCGGGGGUUCAAAUCCCUCCUCAGCCACCA
rnacentral:tRNA from 1 species